GUUUGCGUUGAGGCUUGCUGGUCACUGUGUUGUGAAAAAUCAAUGAGAUGUGACGGGAUUUCUCAAUGCAAUUUCAAGUGGUGUGUCUGGGCCCUAAGAAUACAUUUAUCUUAUUCAAAGAAGAGUUAAUGCAUGCAGUUUCACAGUGGCCUAUGUUACCUCCUGAAACACCAGGUUGCAAGAGGUGUCUUGGAAGACAUGGUUUUUAAGGCAGGAACUGAAAGAGGAGUACACUGGAGCUUGUCUCUAUCAUGCAUAGACCAACAUGGAAGAGAACGCAAGCCCACUCACGAACUGGGGACAGGCGAGGGUUUGGCAGACACUUGGUAUCUGCUCCAGUCUUUUGAAGAAACGGGCAUCCACUGAGGACCUCAUCCGGACAAAAAAAAAAUGUAAACGGCAAGUGACAGGAGCAUUGAGGUGCAACAGUGUGGAGAACUCUUGUCUGCCAUUCUUUCUCACUGUAUCUUUCGCAUUUGUUUGUCUUCCCUGCUGCAGCUCAUGGCCGGACAACAAUUAAAAUCGAUAAGCUAUGAUGACUCCCUUUGCAGAAGAGGCCUGGAAACACAAAGCAGUUUUUAACGCCGUUCUCCUUUGCGUUUGGCGAGGAAGCUGGAAUCAGUCAGCGCUUGGGCCGACUGCUGCACUGACAGAAGACCUGGCUCCUUCUGAAGCUUUCUGAGUCUCUGCUGAAGUGGCCACAGCCAAGACUUAGAUUUGGAUUGGCAAACUUCAUAAUCAUUACCAUUAAUCCAUUGCACAGUUAUGCCUUCUGUCACAGAUUUAUUGAAGUGGUAUUAACUGGUAUUUCACAAUCUCCUCCCAAAGAGGUGAAGCAACUGUAGAUUUCUGAAGUUUUAACACUUGAAAUGUUUAGUGUCUUCUCCCGGUAUUCAACAGAAAGGUAAUUUCACAUAAUUUCAUUGACGUCAAAACUUAGCCCUACUUGGCUUUCCCUUACUCUUGGCUAGAGUACCCUUGACACCCUCUCAGUCAGCUGAAAUGAAUGUUCUCCUUACUUGUGGGUUAAUUAUUUUCCACAUGGGUUAAUUAUUUUCCAUGCUUAGCCUGAAGCACCUUAGCUCUUUGUAUAGACAUAGAAAGAAAUUGUAAAAUUGAAGGCGUUUCAAAAAUAUUUGUACAUAGAAAAGUAGCUGUUUAUGGAUUGUUACUGAAUGAAUGACUUGGAAAUUAGCUCCAGCUGCAGUAUAGCCUUUCUUUAAAUGGAAAAAAAGACACAUUUUCGUCUGUGAUCUAAUUAUAUAUCAUUUCCAUUGAAUCAUCAGUACCCAGAAUGUGUUGUUUGCAAUUCUGAGUGGAUGACUUACACAGUACAAGAAGGGAGAUUUCUAUUUGACUUAUUCUUAAUCAGAAAAUACAUUUCUAUAUACAAAAAGAAAAAAAGAAAAAAAAAAAGAAAAAUGAAGCUUUAAUUCUUUAAAAAAUCAGCUGAAAGCUUUUAAUUUUCCUUGAUCUUUUUUUUUUGGGGC
rnacentral:lncRNA from 1 species